ACUUCGUUUCUCCUCACAUUAUUGUCCGUCUGUUUCUGUGAAUAACUUUAAACACAACAAAGAUCUCAAGAGCGUGUGAGAGUAAGUGCUGAAUCACAUAACAUAAGGUAAAUGAAUUCAGUCUCUAAAUAAAGACUGUUGAGGCUGCUUUCUCCUUUCAGCACCACGGACAGCGCAGGUGUUUUCUCUCACCAAUUCAAGCUAUGAACUGACUUAUAAUGCUCUACAAGCACUGCUGCCAUUUACACAGAAACAUUUUGUUGGAUAUAAAACAAGACAAUAUUGUGCACUGUGUAAAAACAUGUUAAAACUUAAAUUAUAUUUAUAUAAAAAAAAAAAAAAAACUUUGAACAAAAAAAUGAUAGUUUGGUAUUCCAGGUUUUGUGAGGUUUGUAUACAUGACAGUUUUUGGUAACCAAAAAUAAUUAUAUGUAAUACAACGGGAGUAAAGAUACAACACGAUGAGUAAAAAAAUUGUGAAAAAAGCAGGAAAAUGAAUCACAAGGUGUGCUGACAGGGCAAAAAGGCUCCCACUAAAAAGGGAAAUCAGUGUGUGUGUGUGUGUAGGGGGAAGUAUAAGUGUGUAUGUCUAUUGGGAUGGGGGUUGGUUGUAAGGACAGAUACGCCUAUAAAAGACUACAGUACUAUAGACGACCAGGAGCCGACAGAGAGGAAAAUCGAGAGAACUGAGGAGAUUGUGACUGAAGAUGCACUGGAAUGACUGCAGUAAAGUGUAGGAUCUUUAGAUUUCUCUACUUGGUAUCCCACUGCAGUUGAUGCUCAGUGGUGCUCAUAGGCCACCUAGAGGAUAUAUCGGGGAACUGCAUGCCACAAAAUACUGCAGUACCCCCUCCUCUUCUGGCUUUUCUUCAUGUCUGAGCUCUUUAAAGGGAAAGGUGGCAGCUUGUGCCCCCUCCCCAAACCCCACCCUGUGUCUUUUAACCAUCUAUAUGCCAAGUAGAGAAACCUGUCGCUAUUGUCAGGAUGUCUACUUAUUUUAUUUACGUUCAUCUAAAC